AAAAGAUAUUAAUUUUUUGUCAUUAGAUCUUAUAUUUAAGCUUGACACGUGGCAAGCAUAUAGAGCGCCACGUGUCAGCUUCUCACAUAGGGUUUAUUAAUGGUUCUACUUUAGUAUAUAGUAAUAGAUAGAUUAGAACGAAAGUACAUACAAAUAUACUGUUUUGAUUUUUCAGUGAAAGGGCAAAAAAUAUAUUGUAACUAAAUUAUUGUAAUAUAUGAAACAUUUAAUAUGUAGAGAGUCGAGAGAUAUUUAAUAUUGUAACUAAAUUAUAUCUUUUAUUCUAUUGAUUCGUGUGAUAGAUGAAAAAGAUAAAUUACGAGAUGUAAUUUUAAAAUUAAAGUUUUAUAAGAGAGGCAUUAUCUCAUCAUACUCUGCUUAGAUUAUAAUUAAAAUAAAAUUUAUACUCCGUCUUCGUCCUGAAGAUGUAAUUUUAGAUUUUUUUUGGUAUUUUCGUAUCCAACGUAUUAUAUCUUUUUCUCGUAUUAUAUCUUUUUCUCAUUUUAUUUGCAACACCGUCAAAUAAUUCUAGUUCACGCACUCAAAAUAAUCUCCUCCACCCCCUCUCCAAAUU
rnacentral:lncRNA from 1 species